rnacentral:snoRNA from 1 species
GGAUUUGAGGAUGAUUUUAAUAGAUGACGAGUCUGAACUAAACAGUUGAAGACAAACUUUUUACAAUUACCAUUCAUGCAUUUCUGAAAUCU